rnacentral:rRNA from 1 species
GCCAGUAGUUAUAUGCUCGUCUUAAAGAUUAAGCCAUGCAUGUGUAAGAGCAGCUAACACGGGCAACCGUGGAACGUGAAUCUGCGAAUAGCUCCGUAAACGAGCAAUAAACUACCUGAGAGUAUGACAAGGAUAACGCAACCAAAUGUAGCGAUAAUACUUGCAACAAAAUGUAGUAGCCAUUUGAAUGCGCACUACAGUCACCCUUCGGGUGCGAUAAACCAAUCCAGGUCUCUCAGACGCGUUUCUUAUCUAUUAGUUUGUUGGUUGGGUAAGUGCCAACCAAGACGGUUAUGGAUACGGGGAAUCAGUGUUCGGUUCCGGAGAGGGAGCCUUAAAAAUAGCUACCAUAUCCAAGGAUAGCAGCAGGCGCGAAAAUUACUCACUUCUAAUACCCAAGAGAAGUAGUGACGAGAUAUAACGACUUCCCUCAAGGGAAGGUACCACUGUUACAGGUGGUUUGGAAUGGUUUCAAUGUAAACUGUUGUGAGAGUAUCAAUUAGAGGAAAAGUCUGGUGCCAGCACCCGCGGUAAUUCCAGCUCUAAGAGUGUAUACUAAUACUGCUGUAGUUAAAUCGUUCGUAGUCCACAGGUACAAAAGCGAUGUCUCUGUCUCGUGUUUCUCCAAAUCCGACCUCCCUUCGGGGUUGGAAGGAUGGCCUUCGCGCCAGGGGAUUCACUUUACGCACAAAAGGUCUUCGGAUCUUGCGGGGACUGUUGACGUCGUCGAGUAACUUUCAACCCUGAAAAAAUCGGAGUAUUCAUUACAGGCAUUUGCUUGAACACAAAAGCAUGGCACCGGUUUGCGGUCCUUCGGGACCAAGUAGGGUAAUUAGGAAGAGGGGGAGGACCCAUGUACUCAAUCCUGAGAGGUGAAAUUCGUUGAUUGAUUGAGGACAAACUAAUGCGAAGGCUGUUGUCAGGUCCACUACAUUCCUAUAGAUCAGGAACGAAAGCCAAGGGAUCGAAGAUGAUUAGAUACCGUCGUAGUCUUGGCUGUAAACUAUGCUAUCAGAGGAUUGGACGAUCCAAUUUGAUACAUAACGAUCCUUCCAGAAUUCAAGGGAAACCGAAAGUUUUUGAGUUCUGGGGGAAGUAUAGUCGCAAGGCCGAAACUUAAAGGAAUUGACGGAAAGACACCACAAGGGGUGGAGUUUGCGGCUUAAUUCGACUCAACGCGGCGAAACUCACAAGGAUAAGAUGCGGAAUGGAUUGACAGGUUGAUAGCCCUUUCUUGAUUACGCAAUUGGUGGUGCAUGGUCGUUCUUAGUUCGUGGAGUGAUUCGUCUACUUAAUUGUGAUAACGAACGAGACCUUCGCCUGCUAACUAGGAGGCAGAGGAUAAAAUCCCCUUUGUUUCAGCAAUGAAACCUGCCUGCCGAAAGGCAUAUCUUCUUAGAGGGACACCUUCACGUUUUUAGUGAGGGGAAGUUGAAGGCAAUAACAGGUCUGUAAUGCCCUUAGAUACCCUUGGCCGCACGCGAACUACAAUAUUAUAUUAAGCGAGAAUACCAAUCCUGGCCCUUAACAAAUGGUUGGGUAAACUUUUCAAGUCAUUAUAUGACUGGGAUAGAUGCUUGUAAAGGUAUCUUAAACGAGGAAUCCCUAGUAAGCGCAAGUCAUCAUCUUGCAUUGAUUACGUCCCUGUCUUUUGUACACACCGCCCGUCGCUCCUACCGACUGGAAGAAAAGGUAAGUUUAGUGGACCCACUCUAGUGGGGAAGCUACGCAAACCUAUUUUUCUGUAGGAAGGAGAAGUCGUAACAAGGUCAUCGUAGGUGAACC